UACAUUAAUUGAAUUAAGACUAAACAUUUUCUAAUAGUUGCUACCGCACAUUCUUUAUACUAGUGGCUUAUAUUUUAUAAGUUACAUUAAUUGAAUUAAGACUAAACAUUUUCUAAUAGUUGCUACGGCACGUUUUGUGUACUAGUGGCAUUCCAGCAAUGGUAACCGUUUCCUAUCUAUCUGGCCGAUGUGUUGUUUCAGUGGACAAAGGAUGACUUCGGGUUGGGAGCCAACAGAAAACUGGCCGGUUUCGAGUGCUCCUCGAUGGUGGGUAGUGAUGAGGAGGGCGACUUUUCUCUGGACAUUUUCUCAGUGAUGCUGGACGAUGAUGCCAAGUAACAGUGCCAGGCUGGACCGGGCAAAAAAGGGUCUCCGCCUAUCCGGUCUUGAUUUGCAACUCUCACCACAGAAGCCGCCGAAAAUAGUACAAGGGGAUUUUAUGGUUACAACCAAGGAUACAGAAAUCAAAUAUGUAGUGGAAGGCCGGCCGGCUACUGAGGUGACGAAGCUAAAUGUUUUCCCAACACCUACACUGCCGUGAGAUGACAUUGUGACGUAGAUCCAAGUGAUUAGUUUUUCAGUACGGCCCAAAAACGAUUGCAUUUCUUUACAAUUUUGUAUUGAAAUAGUGCCUACGUCACUUUGUUUUUUUUUUUUAUUUUAUGCAGCGUACGAAUGAGUAAAAACGAAAAGGAAAAUACCAAAAGAAAGAUAACCUGGAUCGACGGGCUGGGGAACGUACUGAAUCAAGGAAUCGAAAAUAUGAAAGAUCCACUCCCCGAUGAGCGCCGAUUUACAGCCAAAUUAAUCGUCAAGCUGACACCACAGAAAUAGCACCACAAUACGUCCUUCACCUGCUAGGCACAGAACACCGCAGAUCGAACGUAUCAAUCGGUUCGGCUAAAGAUGGAGGUCAAGUACGCUCCGGAGGUGAGCAUCACCAUCACUAGCGGCAACCAGUAUAUCAAUACCAACAACAACUGCGGUAGAGUAUUAGAAGAAAGCGGUGUCCGGUUGGCAUUGUCGUGCGGACGCAAAUCCUCCCGACGUGACCUACCGAUGCAUUGUUGGAAGCGAUAUGUUGACAGGAGACUACUCCACAGAGCUGGUAAUAUUAAAUAUUUCGAAAAAGUACCACAACACGGUGGUGAAAUGCGAAGCUUACAACGUUGUGGGCACGAGCGAGAGAAGCGAAACAUUGGAUAUCAGUUACGGUCCGUCUUCUCGCAGCCUGCCGAAAUCGGUUGAGGCUGAUCUGGAAACGGUGGUUUUCUUGUGCUGAGAUGUGGAUGCCAAUCCUUCGCCGGAUAUUGAGUGGUUGCACAACGGGUCCGGUCGGGUCGGUUGUGUCCAUUUCAGGGAACGUGACACGGCGAGUUACUCACACGACGGCCGGUCGGCACAUUUUGUGUACUGGUGGCUUAUUUCCCAUGAGUUACAUUUAUUGAAUUAAACUAAACAUAUACUAGUGGCUUAUUUUUAAUAAGCUACCCAAUACCGAUAUAUGUAAUGACACAACAUAGUAGUGAAUGAAAAACAAUUGUAAUAGCAAUAAUAAAUAAAAUAAUGAAUGCCUACACAAAGUUUUUUCACUUUUUCUGAGCUCUGGCCGUAACUUGUUUGGAAAUAUUACCAGAUUUGAUCUGGAAAACUUCUGUGAAAAUUUAGUUUUUGGGGCUUAUUACGGGAGUCACUUCACGGUGAAGUGAUAACCGUAAUAGGCACGAUGAAAGCGAUUCCCAUUUGAUUUGCACACGUCUUUUUUCACCGUAAGAUUUUUUCACUUUGUUCUCACCGUGAAGUGACAUCCGUAAUAAGCCCCUUUGUAACGCAAUAUGAUUGUUACGACUCGUAGGAUCUUGAGAAUACACUGGAGUCUUUUUUUGACGCGGUUAAUUUUUAUGCGUUUAACUGAACGCGAUUUUUUUUACAAUAACGCGGAUUAUUUUUAUGUGAUUUAGAAGACUAUUUGUACGCGGUAUCAAAUAAGUUUAGUAUAAGUACAUCUCAUCUAACCUUUAAAAAGCGAUACGAUCAACCGCGUAAAAAAAGACCCCAGUGUAAUCGCUAAUUUGAUCAUUUUUUGAGUCGAUUGUCUGUUUUUUUACAGCAUCUACAUUUAAAAAUUCAAAAAUAAAUCAAAAAAUUCAAAUUCUCUCUGUGUCCGAUUUCGAGAUCUGAUAAAUAUGACCUACAGUUGACAAAAGUUUGCUUCUCCUUCAUCGGUUCGUCAGAGCAAGUGUCCACAUGAAUUCCCUAAACGCUAAUUUGCAGCGGUCGCUGUUCCCCGUGUCUUCGGCUGGACUGCUAAUGCGUUCCGCCGUAAGAAGCUCAUCAAUCCUUGGCGCACUGCGUGGCUCGCGGGAUUUUUCGUUCAAAUUAAGUAUCAGAGAGUAAUUCUUACUUGACAAAUUGCGAGACGGGGCAGAAUAGUUUGGUGGAACCUGGACUCGACCUGAGCAUCACGGUGCACUGAAAAGAAGUUUAAAUUUCAACACAAGAAUGGAACUAUUAAGGUACUACUCAUUCUUCGCGGUUUUGCUGUACGACUGGCUGCAGACGAGAAAGUGAUAGAAUAUUUGUCUGUGUCUGGAACAGCUUCAGUUUCUUAAGAUGAUCUCAAGUUAGGUUUUUUUUUAUUGGACUUUGAUGAUUAGUAUU